rnacentral:tRNA from 1 species
ACCGAAGUGGUGAAACUGGUAGACACGCUAUCUUGAGGGGAUAGUACUUAAUUUUAAAUAGGUGUGUGGGUUCAAUUCCCACCUUCGGUACUA